rnacentral:rRNA from 1 species
AUUGAACGCUGGCGGCAGGCCUAACACAUGCAAGUCGAACGAGUGGCGGACGGGUGAGUAAGGUCUGGGAAACUGCCUGAUGGAGGGGGAUAACUACUGGAAACGGUAGCUAAUACCGCAUACCAUCAGAGGUGCCCAGAUGGGUUUAGCGUGUUGGUGGGGUAAAGGCUCACCAAGGCGACGAUCCCUAGCUGGUCUGAGAGAAUGACCAUCCCCCCUGGAAUCGCGCCACGGUCCAGACCCCUACGGGAGUCAGCAGUGGGUAAUAUUGCACAAUUGGCGCAAGCCUGAUGCAGCCCUGCCGCGUGUAUGAAGAAGGCCUUCGGGUUGUAAAGUACUUUCCGCGGGUAGGCGUUACCCGCAGAAGAAGCACCGGCUAACUCCGUGCCAGCAGCCGCGGUAAUUC